UACGUAGGGUCCGAGCGUUGUCCGGAAUUACUGGGCGUAAAGAGCUCGUAGGUGGUUUGUCGCGUUGUCCGUGAAAACUCACAGCUCAACUGUGGGCGUGCGGGCGAUACGGGCAGACUGGAGUACUGCAGGGGAGACUGGAAUUCCUGGUGUAGCGGUGGAAUGCGCAGAUAUCAGGAGGAACACCGGUGGCGAAGGCGGGUCUCUGGGCAGUAACUGACGCUGAGGAGCGAAAAGCGUGGGGGAGCGAACAGG
rnacentral:rRNA from 1 species